rnacentral:rRNA from 1 species
GACGAACGCUGGCGGCAUGCCUAACACAUGCAAGUCGAACGGAGAUUACUUUGGUAAUCUUAGUGGCGAACGGGUGAGUAACGCGUAGGCAACCUGCCCUCUAGAUGGGGACAACAUCCCGAAAGGGGUGCUAAUACCGAAUGUGACAAGUUUCCCGCAUGGAAGACUUGUGAAAGAUGGCCUCUAUUAUAAGCUAUCGCUAGAGGAUGGGCCUGCGGCUGAUUAGCUAGUUGGUGGGGUAAAGGCUCGCCAAGGCGAUGAUCAGGAGCCGGUCUGAGAGGAUGAACGGCCACAUUGGGACUGAGACACGGCCCAGACUCCUACGGGAGGCAGCAGUGGGGAAUCUUCCGCAAUGGGCGAAAGCCUGACGGAGCAAUGCCGCGUGAGUGAUGAAGGAAUUCGUUCCGUAAAGCUCUUUUGUUUAUGACGAACGUGCGAGUUGUGAAUAAUGACUUGUAAUGACGGUAGUAAACGAAUAAGCCACGGCUAACUACGUGCCAGCCGCCGCCGUAA